UACGAAGGGGGCUAGCGUUGCUCGGAAUCACUGGGCAUAAAGGGUGCGUAGGCGGGUUCUUAAGUCAGAGGUGAAAUCCUGGAGCUCAACUCCAGAACUGCCUUUGAUACUGAGAGUCUUGAGUUCGGGAGGGGUGAGUGGAACUGCGAGUGUAGAGGUGAAAUUCGUAGAUAUUCGGAAGAACACCAGUGGCGAAGGCGGCUCACUGGCCCGGUACUGACGCUGAGAUACGAAAGCGUGGGGAGCAAACAGG
rnacentral:rRNA from 1 species